GGGAAAUCUUCAACACGAGCAGGUCUGUGAUGACUUUGCACAGAACUCAGAACUCUACCGACGAUCUUUCGUGCAUAGCCACCAAAGGCCACACCAGCAAUCAAAGCAUUCGGUGAAUGUAAGGUGCUCGGAAUUGUCUCGUAUCUUGAAGGCUCGUGUAUGGUUGUUGUUUGGAAUAAUCUCUCUUUUUUCAACCCUUCCACUGUGUGAAUAUUGGUACCACCAGCCAGUUGAAGGAAGCCUUUAGGCUUGUCGCCAGCAGAGGCCAAUUUUCGUGCAAAAGCAAUUGCAUCUCUCGUGGCACCUCGCCCAAUAUCUCCACUCAUUGGUCGACCAUCCAACUGCCAUAAGUUGACGCAGUGUAUGCUGGAUGAUUCCAUUAUAGAGUACAUAGCAUUCAUUGCAGAUAUGGUUGAAUCUCUUAAGUCUGGAAAACUAACUGCCACGAGCUUCAGAUUUGCAGUUGAGUUCCCCAACCCAGUCCAGAGUUCUCUAAAAACAGAAGGUUCCCUUCCACUGGUAUGAAUUUCUAAGGCAUCAACAUCAUCCCUUUCAAGAAGUUCAGCUGUAGCUAUAACAUCUCUCACAUACGUAAUAGCUCUUAUUUUGUCAUAUGGACAAACCGGAAGGCAGCGACCACAACCAUAACAACGCUCAGCCAAAACUCCGCCCUUUUGCAGUAUUGCAUUAGCAGGACACACUUUCUCACAAGGUCUCAUGCAAUCCCAGGGGCAAUCAUCCGGAUCAAAUUCAGCUUUACGGAAAUGAAGAUCUUCAUCAUCAUUAACACUAAUCAUUACCCAAGGCCUGCGUAUGGGCACAAGGGCUCUGGCUGCUUCUAUCCCUUCAUUUACAGCAUUCACCACUGACGCCUCAGCAGCGCAGUCAAUGCAAUCAACUCCGGCAAGUGUAUAAACCAGAGAAAGGUUCCUGAUAUCAACCAAAUCCUCAAAGCUAGCACCACAAAUAAGCUUGACCCAAUUUCCCU
rnacentral:misc_RNA from 1 species